rnacentral:piRNA from 1 species
UGGGCUUUUGUCUGGGUUCUUGGAUUCCCAU